GGCAGGUUGAAGGUUGGGUAACACUAACUGGAGGACCGAACCGACUAAUGUUGAAAAAUUAGCGGAUGACCUGUGGCUGGGGGUGAAAGGCCAAUCAAACCGGGAGAUAGCUGGUUCUCCCCGAAAGCUAUUUAGGUAGCGCCUCGUGAAUUCAUCUCCGGGGGUAGAGCACUGUUUCGGCUAGGGGGCCAUCCCGGCUUACCAACCCGAUGCAAACUGCGAAUACCGGAGAAUGUUAUCACGGGAGACACACGGCGGGUGCUAACGUCCGUCGUGAAGAGGGAAACAACCCAGACCGCCAGCUAAGGUCCCAAAGUCAUGGUUAAGUGGGAAACGAUGUGGGAAGGCCCAGACAGCCAGGAUGUUGGCUUAGAAGCAGCCAUCAUUUAAAGAAAGCGUAAUAGCUCACUGGUCGAGUCGGCCUGCGCGGAAGAUGUAACGGGGCUAAACCAUGCACCGAAGCUGCGGCAGCGACGCUGAUGCGUUGUUGGGUAGGGGAGCGUUCUGUAAGCCUGCGAAGGUGACCUGUGAGGGUUGCUGGAGGUAUCAGAAGUGCGAAUGCUGACAUAAGUAACGAUAAAGCGGGUGAAAAGCCCGCUCGCCGGAAGACCAAGGGUUCCUGUCCAACGUUAAUCGGGGCAGGGUGAGUCGACCCCUAAGGCGAGGCCGAAAGGCGUAGUCGAUGGGAAACGGGUUAAUAUUCCCGUACUUGGUGUUACUGCGAAGGGGGGACGGAGAAGGCUAUGUUGGCCGGGCGACGGUUGUCCCGGUUUAAGCGUGUAGGUGUGUGUUCCAGGUAAAUCCGGUUCACUUUAACACUGAGGCGUGACGACGAGGCACUACGGUGCUGAAGCAACAAAUGCCCUGCUUCCAGGAAAAGCCUCUAAGCAUCAGGUAACACGAAAUCGUACCCCAAACCGACACAGGUGGUCAGGUAGAGAAUACCAAGGCGCUUGAGAGAACUCGGGUGAAGGAACUAGGCAAAAUGGUGCCGUAACUUCGGGAGAAGGCACGCUGACACGUAGGUGAAGUGAUUUACUCAUGGAGCUGAAGUCAGUCGAAGAUACCAGCUGGCUGCAACUGUUUAUUAAAAACACAGCACUGUGCAAACACGAAAGUGGACGUAUACGGUGUGACGCCUGCCCGGUGCCGGAAGGUUAAUUGAUGGGGUCAGCGCAAGCGAAGCUCCUGAUCGAAGCCCCGGUAAACGGCGGCCGUAACUAUAACGGUCC
rnacentral:rRNA from 1 species